CCUACGGGAGGCAGCAGUGGGGAAUAUUGCACAAUGGGCGCAAGCCUGAUGCAGCAACGCCGCGUGAGGGACGACGGCCUUCGGGUUGUAAACCUCUUUUAGUAGGGAAGAAGCGAAAGUGACGGUACCUGCAGAAAAAGCACCGGCUAACUACGUGCCAGCAGCCGCGGUAAUACGUAGGGUGCAAGCGUUAUCCGGAAUUAUUGGGCGUAAAGAGCUCGUAGGCGGUUUGUCGCGUCUGCUGUGAAAACUGGAGGCUCAACCUCCAGCCUGCAGUGGGUACGGGCAAACUAGAGUGCGGUAGGGGGGAUUGGAAUUCCUGGUGUAGCGGUGGAAUGCGCAGAUAUCAGGAGGAACACCGAUGGCGAAGGCAGAUCUCUGGGCCGUAACUGACGCUGAGGAGCGAAAGCAUGGGGAGCGAACAGGAUUAGAUACCCUGGUAGUCCAUGCCGUAAACGUUGGGCGCUAGAUGUGGGGACCAUUCCACGGUUUCCGUGUCGCNGCUACGACAUAGCGCCCGCCGUCGGGAGGUACGGCCGCGACGGACGUAAACGUUAAACGGUAAGUUAGACGGCGUGAGACGUCGCCGACGGACGACGACGAGGGAGGUAGG
rnacentral:rRNA from 1 species